GACGAACGCUGGCGGCGUGCUUAACACAUGCAAGUCGAACGGAAAGGCCCUGCUUUUGUGGGGUGCUCGAGUGGCGAACGGGUGAGUAACACGUGAGUAACCUGCCCUUGACUUUGGGAUAACUUCAGGAAACUGGGGCUAAUACCGGAUAGGAGCUCCUGCUGCAUGGUGGGGGUUGGAAAGUUUCGGCGGUUGGGGAUGGACUCGCGGCUUAUCAGCUUGUUGGUGGGGUAGUGGCUUACCAAGGCUUUGACGGGUAGCCGGCCUGAGAGGGUGACCGGCCACAUUGGGACAGAGAUACGGCCCGGACUCAUACGGGAGGCAGCAGCGGGGAAUAUUGCACGAUGGGCGGAAGCCUGAUGCAGCAACGCCGCGUGCGGGAUGACGGCCUUCGGGUUGUAAACCGCGUUCGCCUGUGACGAAGCGUGAGUGAAGGUAAUGGGUAAAGAAGCACCGGCUCACUACGUG
rnacentral:rRNA from 1 species